GGGGAUGUGGUGAAAUUGGUAUACACGCCAGUCUUAGGAACUGGUGGAGCAAUCCAUGAGAGUUCGAGUCUCUCCAUCCCCA
rnacentral:tRNA from 1 species